rnacentral:lncRNA from 1 species
GUUCCAGGGUCACUUCUAUAGCACUGAUGAACAAAAGACUGAUGAACAGGUCUUCCUGAAUUAUAUUCUUCUAUCAUAAGCUGGUGAUAUGGUUACCAGGUACCUCUAGGCGAACCCUAGAGAAGUCAGAUUCCACUUGCUGUGCUGUCUGAGACCAGAAUUGAGAGGGGAAUAUGAACUAGUUAGUUUGAAUUUGAGCACUAAUGCUAUGGUGGCUUCAGGAGACACAAUUGACCCUGUGGAGAGACUGGCCCUUAUCCUGGGAGUGGCUAAGACAUCUGUCAAUGUCAGAAAAUGAAGAAAUGGAAGCAAUUGAUGAAGCUCUCCACUGAGCAAAUGAUGGAGAGUCAAGAAUGCAGGUAUGUGGAUCCCAUCAAAUCUGAGGAGGUGCAUCGAAAUUGGGUCCACUAUACACUUCUCUCGCCUACAUACCAAUGUAAUGGUACAGCAUUCCCACUUUUCCAUCUCUAGUAUACUGACUUCAGGGAUAAGACUGAAACAAUUCCUUGAGAUGACAACAUGGCUUUUCUGCUGUAGAUAAUGAGGUUUAUGACAGGCAGAUCAUCACUAGCAGAUGUUGCCCUUGGCAAAUCAGUGAUGAUGGACAGGCUCAUGAAAAGCACAAGAAGACCUGGAAUUUGCAAAAUGUGGAGCAGACAGUCAUUAUGGAUGUGAGUGCACAUGAUAAUGAUGAACAUGACCUGCAUAACCCAUACAAAUUACUGACAAUCGUAUCAGCACAUCCCAGGAAAAUCACGUUAUGGUGAAGGUAGUGAGAAUGAGAGAGAUCAGAGAAAAAAUAUGAACAUUUGCUACAGUAUUUUAUAUGUUAGAAAUUACCUAUAAAAAAAUGUGGAAAAAUUUGCGAA